AGCCCUUUCGCCAAGUGGUAAGGCACCGGACUUUGACUCCGGCAAGUAGAUUUUUUCUCACGAUUGUUCGAAUCAAUCAAGGGCUG
rnacentral:tRNA from 1 species